AAAAUAAUCCUACCCUUUGUGAAUUUUGUUUGUUUGAAUGAUUUUUUUUUUUUAAAAAAUUAUUGGAGUCUUUCCCUUUAGAGUUUGCUUUUGAGUUUGUAAAAGAAUUCGAAAACAUCUAAAGGGGAUGGUCAAUAAUUUUUUUUGAAAAAGACAUUUUUUAAAAUUAAACUUUUUGUAUUCAUUUGUCUAAAAAUUAUUUUUAUAAUAUAAAAACAACUUUUGACAAUGGAACUCUUGGUUCUCGCAACGAUGAAGAACGCAGCAAAAUGCGAUAAGUAGUGUGAAUUGCAGAAUACGUGAAUCAUCGAAUCUUUGAACGCAUAUUGCACUUUUUUAGUUUACUAAAAAGUAUGUCUGUUUGAGUAUCAGUAAAAUAUUCUCAUAAAAAUCAUUGUGUAUUUUAUGGUUAUGAGUGUUUUACAACGAUACAAGUUGUUUCACUUUAAAUUUUUUUUAAUAUUGAAAUUUUUCUAAUUUUAAUAAUUAAAAUUGGAUAAAAUUUUCCCGUCAAAAGGAAUAACCUAAACAAUUUUAAAUGAUUAAUUUUAGCAAAAUUUUCGAAAAAAAGGAAAAUUUUUAUUAAAAUAACUUGAUCUCAAAUCAGAUGAGAGUACCCGCUGAACUUAAGCAUAUCAAUAAGCGGAGGAAAAGAAACUAACAAGGAUUCCCCAGUAACGGCGAGUGAAGCGGGAAGAGCUCAAAUUUGAAAUCUUGAAGGUCACCUUUCACGAAUUGUAGUUUAAAGAAGUGUUUUCUGUUACGAUCGUAAUAUAAGUUCUUUGGAAUAGGACAUCACAGAGGGUGAGAAUCCCGUCUAUGAUUGCGAUUUGUAGCUUGUGAUACACUUUCAAAGAGUCGGGUUGUUUGGGAAUGCAGCCCAAAACGGGAGGUAAAUUUCUUCUAAGGCUAAAUAUUGGCGAGAGACCGAUAGCGAACAAGUACCGUGAGGGAAAGAUGAAAAGAACUUUGAAAAGAGAGUUAAAUAGUACGUGAAAUUGUCAAAAGGGAAUCGUUUAACACCAGUGUUGUUUUCUGAAAAUCAACCUCUGUUAGCUUUAUGCAUGUUUGUUUAGACCUAAUCAGCUAUCUUGCAUGUUCUAUUGUUUGCAGUGGUGCACUUUUCAGUUUACAGGUCAACAUCAGUUUUUUUUACCGUAAAAAAGUUAAAGAAAGGUAGCUCAUGGCUCCGGUCGUGAGUGCUAUAGUCUUUUUCCUAUGCGGUAGGAGAGACUGAGGUCUGCAGUGUAGGCUAUUUGGCUAGAUACUCAGGUGCUAUGUGAUACCAUUUCAUAAACAACUUGUUGAUUAUGUUUUGUCUAUUGCAUACUCGCUUGUACUAUCAUACCUACGCUUAGGAUG
rnacentral:misc_RNA from 1 species